GCNAGGUUCNAAAGCUCCGGCGGUGCAGGAUGAGCCCGCGGCCUAUCNACUNGUUGGUGAGGUAACGGCUCACCAAGGCGACGACGGGUAGCCGGCCUGAGAGGGCGACCGGCCACACUGGGACUGAGACACGGCCCAGACUCCUACGGGAGGCAGCAGUGGGGAAUAUUGCACAAUGGGCGAAAGCCUGAUGCAGCGACGCCGCGUGAGGGAUGACGGCCUUCGGGUUGUAAACCUCUUUCAGCAGGGAAGAAGCGAAAGUGACGGUACCUGCAGAAGAAGCGCCGGCUAACUACGUGCCAGCAGCCGCGGUAAUACGUAGGGCGCAAGCGUUGUCCGGAAUUAUUGGGCGUAAAGAGCUCGUAGGCGGCUUGUCACGUCGGUUGUGAAAGCCCGGGGCUUAACCCCGGGUCUGCAGUCGAUACGGGCAGGCUAGAGUUCGGUAGGGGAGAUCGGAAUUCCUGGUGUAGCGGUGAAAUGCGCAGAUAUCAGGAGGAACACCGGUGGCGAAGGCGGAUCUCUGGGCCGAUACUGACGCUGAGGAGCGAAAGCGUGGGGAGCGAACAGGAUUAGAUACCCUGGUAGUCCACGCCGUAAACGGUGGGCACUAGGUGUGGGCAACAUUCCACGUUGUCCGUGCCGCAGCUAACGCAUUUAAGUGCCCCGCCUGGGGAGUACGGCCGC
rnacentral:rRNA from 1 species